UUUUUAGGCUCUUUCUGUACUUGUUUUUUGGCUUUUUUGUGUCUUUUCCACUAAUUUUGUGUUUCUGUGGUUGUUUUAUGUCGUGUUGCAUUCAUUUUUUUGCCUUUGUGUUGUGUUUUGUUGUGCGUUUUUAGGCUCUUUCUGUACUUGUUUUUUGGCUUUUUUGUGUCUUUUCCACUAAUUUUGUGUUUCUGUGGUUGUUUUAUGUCGUGUUGCAUUCAUUUUUUGCCUUUGUGUUGUGUUUUGUUGUGCGUUUUUAGGCUCUUUCUGUACUUGUUUUUUGGCUUUUUUGUGUCUUUUCCACUAAUUUUGUGUUUCUGUGGUUGUUUUAUGUCGUGUUGCAUUCAUUUUUUGCCUUUGUGUUGUGUUUUGUUGUGCGUUUUUAGGCUCUUUCUGUACUCGUUUUUUGGCUUUUUUGUGUCUUUUCCACUAAUUUUGUGUUUCUGUGGUUGUUUUAUGUCGUGUUGCAUUCAUUUUUUUGCCUUUGUUUUGCGUUUCGUUGUGUGUUUUUAGGCUCUUUCUGUAGUUGUUUUGUGUCUCUAGUGGUUUUCCAUCUUAUUGCAUUUGUUUGAGUCUCUUUGACGUUGUUUUUCCAUCCUUUUUGCAUUCUUUUGAUGUUUCUUUUGGUUGUUUCUCGUCUUUUUUCAGUUGCUCCUUGCGGUUAUUUUAGCUUUUUUGCGUUCGUUUUGCAUCUGUUUUUGGUUGUUUUGCAUCUUUUUCUGGUUGUUUUGUGUCUUUUGCAUUCGUCUAGCAUCUCUUUACGUUAAUUCAAUGUCUUUUUGUCUAUUCUCAUCUGUUUGUGGUUACUUUUUGUCCAUUUUUGGUUGUUUUCUGUUUAUUUUCUGUAGUUUUACUGCUCUUUGCAUUUGUUUCGUGUCUCUUUGUUGUCAUGUUUUGUCUCAUUUGUCGCGUUCCAUUUGUCAUUGGUCAUCUUUGUCUUUUUGUGGUUGUUUUAUAUUUUUUUGCUUUAAUGUUGUGUCUUUUUGUGCUGCAGGUAGUAUAGAAUUAUUCAGGAACUGCUGCUGAACUGAAGUAAUCCACCAAAACCUUUGACUUAAUGACAUAUUUUUUGUUUUAUUUCAGUGUCUCUACAUGACUCAUAGAUAGAAACCAGUGACUAGCAGUAGACGGCAGUAACUGUCCUGAAUCUCUUCUGAUGAACCUGAGAUGAAGCCAGCAGUGAAGACGUUCUGAAUGUUCCGUGUUCCUCUGGUUUACCUUCAUGUGAGGAGGUUUGGGCUCAUAGAUGUUCUUUCAGGAGCAGGGAAACUCCCAUUAAUGUCAGUUUUUUUUUAAACUGAGCUCCUCUGAGGUGGAAUUCCCCCGGCAGACCAACAGACUUCCAGGAAGCUGGAAUGAAGCUGCCGCUCUGAAGGAGACGGACGACGUUCUACGAAUGUUGUCCAACCAGAACAGCAGCUGGGUCUCAUUUCAGUCGUUGGAGCUUCAGAUGAGUCAGAGCGACGAGCGCUGAACAAAAUGUUCCUGCAGAGUUUUACAGCGUUCACAUCAGAAACUAAACAGCUAAUGAGCCUGUAGUCAGACGGUGCAGGAGAACGGAGGGUUUAUGUCUCUAUGGUUGUUUUAUGUCUUUUUGUUUUGUAUCGCUGUAUUCGGCUCCUUUCGUAUUUGUUUGGGUCUUUUUGUGUUGAUUUUACAUCUUUCCUCAUUCAUUUUGUCUCUUUGUGGCUGUUUUACAUCAUUUUACAAUAGUUUUACGUCUCUGUCGUUAUUUUUUGUCUUUUUGUUUUGCAUCUCUCUGAAUAUUUAGGCCGUUUUUGCGUUUGUUUUUAUGUCCAUUUGUGGUUCUUUAGGGUCUUAUUUUAUUUAUUGCUUCUUUGUGGUUGUUUUACGUCUUUUUGCAGUCAUUUUCUUUGUGGUUUUAUGUGUCUUUUGUGUUUAUUUUUGUCUGUUUGUGGUUGUUUUAUGUUUUUUGUGUUCAUUUUGCAAUACUGUGAAUAUUUUUGCUCUUUUUUUUUUACAUUUGUUUAAGUCCAUUUGUGGUUGGUUAAGGUCCUUUUUUAAUUUAUUUUUUGUAGCUGUUUUAGACAUUUUUUGUAUUUUUUUUUGUGUCUUGCAUCCGUUUUCAAUUUUAUUUAAUAAUACUUUCAGUUACACAUAAUGUCAAGUAAAAUCACAGGAAAAACUCUGAACUUAUGCGUUGCCUGAGGAAAAAAACAAAGAAAACGGAACAAAACUGUAAAUGAUGUUCACAUAAAAGUCUUUUGUUCAUUUACUUACGUUUGGCCCUGAAAUGACAGUUUUUUCUGUCUUUAAAUCCAUUAUGAUGUCAUUAUUUUAGGGAUAUUUUGCAUUCUUCUCACCAUUCUUACUGAUGUUGACCACUACAGUAUUUCACUUUUUUAAACAUAUUUCUUUCUCUCUUGGUACCAGAUUUACAGUUUGUUUUACAGAUUUGUUUUAGUGUGGAUCAAAGAUGAGGUCCACCUGGAAUAAGCCGUACUUUCUAACUUUACGUCUGAUUCAGGAUCAGAAACCGACUCUGUGAAGGUUGGAAACUGAUCGCCGAGACGAAGGAAUCUUUGGUUCCUUCAGACUUCAGAACCUGUAAUUAAAAGUUCCAGGAACUUUUGGUGGAAAGAAAAGUGAAGCAGUUGUGGUACCAGAUGUUCUGAUCUCAGCUUCAUGGAGUCAAACUGGAUCUAAUGAAGAGACACGAGAACGGAGCAGGAAUGUCUGGAAUGAUCCGACGUGUCUGGACCUGAAGCUUCUCCUCGACGGAGGAAGACGAGGAGAUGCUGAAGAGCUGCAGUGGAAAGUUACCAGAGAGAGCAGAGUUUAAAGAACACUCCUGAAAUAUGAGACCGUUUAUUCCACAUUUACAUUCAUCAGGAGGUAAAACUUUAGAGACCUUCAGGCUCCAUCAGGGUGAUUCAUAAAGUAAUGAAUGAAUAAAAAUAAAAUCGACCUUAAAUAAUUAAAUAAUUCACGUUUAGUUUUUAUCAAUAUGUAAAGACAGAAAUGUGACAAAAAAUUAAAUAAUAAAUAUAAUAAUACAUUCAGUAUCAAGCUUAGUGAUUCCAGGGUCUAAAACUUCUAAUAAUUAUAGUUAAUUCUAUAUAUUUUUAUUAUUGAGUUCGUUUAUGUCAUUAAAAACACUUUUUAUUAAUUUACAAUUUAUUGAAACUUUAUAUAAUUUUACCUUUAUUCAUUUUAUUUGCUUCACUUAUGAAUAUUUUAUGUACACUUUCUCCUUUUUUAAAUAAUGGCUUUUCCUUUAAUGAUCUAAACGUAUUUUUAAGUUUUGUUUAUUUUACUUACUCAGAUUUUUAAGAAAUAUUUUACUUAUGUGCAUUUUACUGAUUUUACUUUACAUUUCUUUUGCAGUUUUUGCAUAUUUUACACAUGAAUAUUAUAUUUUUAAAUCUGAUGUACAUAAAUAUUUCUUAUUUUAAUGAUUUAAUCUGAAACUAGUUGUUUUUAAAUUAUUUCACUUGUGUUUAUUUUACUUGUCCAAAUUUAAUGUAAGUUUCGUCUUUUUUACGUGUUUAUCUUUAAAAAUUGUAUUAAAAUUUUAUGUAUUUUACUUAGUUUUUUAACAACAUAUUUUAUAAAUGUAUAUUUUAAUUAUUAAAAUUGAAACUAGUUUUGAAAUGAUUUUACUUCCAUUUUUUAUUCAUUUUAAUUAUUUUUACUGAUUUACUUGGGUAUGGUUUCCAGUUUGUUUAUAUUUUAAAUAAUUUUAAUUGUAUAUAAUAUCUACAUUUUAUUUAAGUUUCUC